rnacentral:lncRNA from 1 species
UAUCACUAAGUCAUGAAAAAAACAUAUUCUGAAAACAACCACAAUAAUAGUUUGCAUGAAAUCAAUCUUAACUUGUGGUUAUUUCUAUCUGUGUUAGUUUUCAAGGGGUUUCUAGUGACGUGCUUUUUACUCAUGUUUUAUUAUGGAAUGCAAAGUAGUGGUGUCUUGCUGUAAAAUAAAAGGGUAAACUUCAAUUAUUUUCCUUGUAAUAGAUUCAUUUAUAUUCUACUUCUACUCCUACUCUUAUAGUUUUCAUAAAAUCCUGUUAAUAUUACUCUUAACUAUGAAAUAUCUAAUUCUUUUUAAUUUUGGUUUUUAAGUAUUUUAGGUUUCGGAUUUUUGUUGUAAGAUACUAUGACAUGCAUAAAGACUUGAGAGGAAAUAAUAAGAGAAGAAUUAAAAAUAUAUAUAUAUAUAUAUAUAUGAAAAGCAUCAGAUUAUCACACGGUUAUUUAGUAGUAAAUAAACUAUCAUGAUAGAAGUGAAAACAUUGAAUAGAAACUUACAGGCAGUUGUAGAAGUUUUGCUCGUUGUCAACCUGCCUCCAGCGUCCAAAAAGAUCUGCCAAGAAUGGUACUAGACUCUCCCUAUUUAAUAUGAAAAUUCCAAAAUGUUCUAUUGCUCCUUUACAAUUGCUACAAUGGCAAGCAAAGGAUAAGAUUCCCAAACACUUGUGUGAAUCAAGGUUGUCAAAAACUUUUUUUGACACGACAUGCAAUUUAUAAUAUAAACUUAUAUUGUAAAUUUAAAUUGUAAAAUCAUAAAUAAAAUUAUUUAAUUAAUUAUAUAUUAACAAACUUUGAAUAGAAUUAAAAUGCUACUGGAAUUGGAAUUCUGACUGAUUUGAUCUUUCUGUUCAAAUUCAAGUCCGGCAUUUUCAGCAAGAAGAAGAGUACUAGUACUAUUCUCUCUUGAAGAGCACAUUGCUUAAUCUAUAGAACUCUUGUCAACAUAUUAGAAUUUUAGGCUUAAAGUCUUAGAUUAGAAUAAAUGUUAAAAAUUACAGGGAAUAUUCAGCAAUAUAAUAUAUAUUCUCAGCCCUCUCAAACGAGGUUUUUUUUUUAUUAUUUUAAUAUUUUCGUAUUUCAUUUUAACUAUUGGCUUUAUGGCCUUUUCAAUAUACUCUUGAUAAUUAUCCAAAAAAAAGUAUAGGAUAUAGCAAAUGCAUCAAAGGUGGAAGCAUUUUCUACAGUGGCUUUAAAGCAUUUCAAUUAAAAUGGUUUGCACGUUAACAAUAUUCUAUUAUAAACCUCGUUUGAAGUAUAGCAUAAAGCAAACACUCAUGGCACAUUAUAGAGCAUAAUUUAUUAAAAAAAUUCUUGAUGCUUUUUCGUUGAGAAAUACAGCAGGUAAAUUUAAGAAGCUAACAAUGACUAGAUAGUGAGGUACACAGAGUUUAAGUCAUACGAAACAAUUGAGAUAGCAUAAUCAAACAGCUUGAUCGAUCGAACACGCUGUCUGUAUGAUAUGAGUAUGACUACAACAGCAGCUGCUACAACAGAGAUUAUAGCCCAUGGAUUACGGAAAUACUUCUGUUUCAAGAAUGCCUUCCAUUUGUGUCCCCGCUUUCGGUAGUACUUGUUCAGAUCUUCGAAGAUCUAGAAUUCAACUACACCAGAAAAGUAGAAAUUUUCGACGCUGAUAAGAUUUUCCAUUGAACUAUUGCGGAAAAGGAUUGAAACUGCAUGCAUCGUUAUCAGAGAUCAAAGCUUGUGAUGCACCCAUAAAAGAUAAAACGAAAACCCGUUAAUUGAACUCCAUUACAAAGCAAGCCUUUCCUGUUAUCCUGAUAAUUAACACCUUCACUUAUCACUCCUACUACGCUAUUCUCCAUCCAUGCAAGCUCCUCCUCUUCUGGAUCAUGUGUUAUAACGAGUGAAGGCACUGGUUGAACAACUGGGACCGCAUUAAUAAUAUUAUCUUGGAUGACAAGGGCUACGUUUAUAUCCACUGUUUGAGUAACAGGGUAUGCAUUGCUUUGGAGUUGACGAGUGCUAGCUGAAUCACUGCUGAUUUUCCCUUUUCGCGCAACCAUAUAAUAACUUCUGCAGUCGCACUCCCUGACUGAUACACGCUGAACAUGCUUUUUUUUUAUCGGAAUCCGAUGCUGCGAAUUUGUAUAUUUCCCCAGUUGAAACCGCUUCAAAUUUGCACGUAGACGAUAAGACCCAAACCAUAUUCCAUUAAGCUUUCCAAGGCGAUCCUGUUGUUCAGAAUCUGUUUGCAUUGUAACACAGCCAGACCUCCAGUUUCUUCCGUUGUGUCGUCGUGAUAUGUACAUAACAAUUACUACGCCAUAUUUGUUAAAAGUUCUGCGGAGGGUUUGAUAAUCUAACCAAGAGGUGAAUCGCUCUAGGAAAAUCUGAGACAGUGGUGUAUUAGGCGAGGUUGAUGGUGACAGGGUAGCGGCUUGGUUGGAUUUCGAUGCUGUAAGUGUUUUUUUAGGUGUUAUAGAGGAAACGAGAUGGUUGCAUAUUAUUUUCCUUAGGAGGGGGAUUAAUUUAUUAUGCAACAAGAUCAGGAAAACAAGAAACGAAAAAGAUCUGUUAUUACUCAGGAUUUUAAUUACAUUGCAAUCAUAAGGCGGGGAAACAGUACAAAGGGAUUAAAUAUUUAAACUUGACUCAUAACACAUCAUCAGCUUAUACUUUCUAGAAGCGGGUGGGUGCAAUUGUGAAAGAAAGAGGCAACCGCCAGUAUUAAAGAAUGCAAUAGCCAUUAAUGAAGGAGGUGCAGUAAUAGAACAAAAAUGAAGAAAAUACAAGGGGUGAUGUAAUCAAUAAGGUUUCUUAGUGUUUUGUUUUCCUAUAAUCAGGCAUGUGGUUUGGGAGUUUAGAUGUGUGGAUUGAUCAAGAGAGUGUUAGAGAGCAUUGUAAUCUUGAGUAUUGUUUGAAAGAAUUCUGAAUUUAGUGUUUGUUUGUGUGUAUUUGUCUCUCAUGGAGGUGCACAGCUAGUAACCUCAAUCAUCCACUCCACCAACUAUGGUAUCAAAGCCUAAGAAGCAAAAUUAGAAGGUGUUCUUGAUUUUUUACCCUGAAAUACUAAUGUUUGAAAGUGUAUUCUGAAUGCAUCAUUGAAAAGUACUCAAUAAAAAAAUUAUAAUGAGGCAAAAAUCAGCCCAAAUAGAGAUUAGAUGAGCCUCUUGAAGUUUCACCGUGAAAAAUCACCUUCAUUAAAAAAACAAUCUGAAAAAACCAGACCGGUCAAUGUUCUGAAAUUACAAAACAACCAUAUAAUUUUCAUAAAUGUCAGAAUGGACACUAAAUAUUUCAAAGGCACCCAAAAUUUUCAUAAUUUUCAUAACAAUUCCUCAUGUUUCUUAAAUGUAAUAAACACCCCAACAAUUUUAAAAAUUGCAAAAUAACCCUAGAAGUUCUAAAGUUCUUAGCGAUCUCAAGAAUUGCUACUCUUCCAUAACCAAUAGACCAAAUAUUAGUCUACAUUACCUCAUUUUAGCAAAUCUUGUGAGACAUAAUUAAUGAUUGAAAAAUAAUUUUUAUUUCAUUUAAUUUUGAGUGCUUAAAGAUGUAACUUUAUUUGAUAGUUAUUCUCAAAAAAAACGAAAAACGAAAAAGCAAAUUUCAUUUAUUUUUGAAGAGUAAAAUACGUGUCAUCACAUAUUUCUAAACACGAAGCAUUAAUUAUAAAAAGUAUUACGCGGCCUAUUUUCAAUUGUCUACUUGCAUACAAUUACAGUAUGCGAGACAAAGUUCGGCCUAUUUUCUUGAAUAGAAGUUGUGCAAAACAAGAAAGAAAAUCUUCAUCUCCCAAACUUGUGCAUACAAUUACAUGAUAUACAAUUACAUGUUCCCUUCUAUUUUUACAGUUUCUUUUCUUUCAAUAUUCCUGAACUUUGUCUGCUUUUCUUUGGUGGGUCUCUAGGUAUUGCAAAGAAACAAAUUUUCUCUUCCAUUGAUGUCUCUUUUAAUAAUCAUUACUUUUCUUUAUCUUUUUAUUCAUAGUUGUUUUGAUUUUCUUACUGUUUUGGUUUAUGGUUUGUGUUUUUAUAAGGUAAAAGAAGGAAUUAUUUUGGUUUCAAGAGAGGGCAAGGUGAUUGAAACGGUUGAUGACCCAAAAUCUUGAUCCUGUUGUUUUUCCAUCUGCUGCAACAAAUAACAUGUUAUGUUAUUACUAGGUUGUGGUAGUCAAGUUAGAGAAAAUUAGUGUUUUUUUUUGUCAUAUUUUGUGAGCUUAAUUUCCUUGUCUCUUAGGAUUCUUGUGUUUCUUUUUUCGCCUUUGAUAGUUCAAUCCCAUAAAUAUUUUGUAUUGAUUAACCUAACCGUGAAACUGAGAUAUAUAUCAGUGCAGUUUAAAGAAACUGUGAAAAUAAAAGUAUUCAAUUUGGAUACUUGAAACUGGUCAGGUUGAAUUUGGAUAUCUAACAUUUAUACUCAUAUUGGAUAUGAAUAUUAGUUUUGGAUUUGGGCUUAGUACUAAAACCAAACCUAUGUAUAUAUACCCAUUGUUAUUUCUAAUGACAUGACAACUAAUUAGCUCCAUACUCUUAUGACUCGAAAUUAUGUCAAGACUAUUUGGAAUAGGAAGGACAGUGGAAUUCCAAGAGUAUUUUGUUUGCCACCAUGUAUAAUGGGUUAGACAUAAAUUUUCAUAUUAAGAUGGAAAAACUUAAUUGUAAAAUUCAAAGGAAACUUAUUUUAACAUGAAAAUCUGUUUUAUUUUUUGUUCUUGGAUCAACACUUCAGUGUCACUUCUAGUAAUAUAUUUAUAAAUUUUGUUAAUGUAGAGAGUCCAAAAUAAAAAUAAAAAGAAAAAGAGAACUAUGUUCACUUGCAAGCCUCAACAAAGAAAUUAAAAAAAAAACUAUUUCACUAAUUUUUUAUUGAGAUAUUUAUUUUAGUUUGCAGCAAAUAAUAAAAUUUUAUCAUUAUUGAGAUUUUAUAUAUAGUUUAUCACCUUUGCGAUGGAAAAGUGUAAUAUUAAGUUUUGAUUAUUGAGAAUAAAAUUUAAAGUAUUUUUCCUUCUAUUAUGAGAAUUGUGCAAGGUAAGCUUUCUCAAGCUUCUUUUGUAUAGCCUUUCCUGAUAACCUUACAAUCUUAAUUUGUGGUUUUUUCUGUCUGCGUUAGUUUUUAAGGGGUUUCAGAUUAAUGCAAAAAAAAAUUCAAGAACAAAUGUAAAAGGAGAUGAAAAAUGCACAAUCAAACACAAGAUUCCAAGACAACCCGUAAGAGCAUCUGUAAGGAAUCAAAUCUGAUUUUUUCUUUCUUUUUCUAAUUGUAAAUGUUUCACCUGAAUGCAUGUCUUUGACUACUUGAAAGAGCUAAACAUUAAAAAUCCAUAGCUUCUCUAAAUUAAAACUUGCAAGCAUUUUUCUGAACAAAAAAUAGAAAGGACUCUAGUGUCUGCUACUUACACAAACUCUGAAAUUCUGAAGUUUUUUUGAAGAGUUUUCUUGUCUGCUACUUUUUUUCCUGCAAUUCAGCACCUCUUCUAAUUCUACACAAAAUUCUUCGUCAACGUUUUCGGACUUGGAAGUCAACUUGAAAAGUUAGAAAAACUACCUCUCUUUUUUUUUAGUUAUUUAGUAGUAAAUAAACUAUAGGGAUAGAAGUGAAAACAUUGGAUAAUUUUAAACUAUAGGAAUACAAGUGAAACAUUGAUAAAUCUAUAAAGGCCAUGGUGUCUAUGCUAUGUUGACUCAAAUUGGGUGUUCUUGAACUGUGAUUUAUGCAAAUGGAAAAAGAAAUGAAGGGUUUGUUAGCUUUGGCCAUGGUGUCUAUGCUAUGUAGUUUUGGUAUCAGCAAGGAGUGUACAAACAUCCCGACUCAGUUAUCGUCACAUUCAUUUCGAUAUGAACUGUUAUCAUCACAGAAUGAAACAUGGAAACAAGAAAUGUUUGAACAUUAUCAUUUGAUACCUACCGAUGAUUCAGCUUGGGCCAGUUUGCUGCCACGAAAGAUACCGAGAGAAGAAGAUGAGCAUAGUUGGGAAAUGAUGUAUAGAAAUUUGAAAAGUCCUUUGAAAUCCUCUGGAAAUUUCCUUAACGAAAUGUCAUUGCAUAAUGUGAGAUUGGAUCCAAGUUCAAUCCAUUGGAAGGCUCAACAAACAAACUUGGAGUACUUGUUGAUGUUGGAUGUGAAUAACUUGGUGUGGAGCUUUAGGAAAACUGCAGGUUCGUCUACACCAGGAAAAGCUUAUGGUGGUUGGGAGGCACCGGAUUCCGAGCUUCGAGGACAUUUUGUAGGUUAGUUUUUUGCUGAUGAUCUUGAAUUUAGUGUUGAUCAAUAUUAGUACAUAUAUUUUUAUGACAAACAAAUUUGAUUUGGCUUGUUGAAGGGCACUAUUUGAGUGCAUCAGCACAGAUGUGGGCUAGUACUCAUAAUGUAACUCUAAAGAAGAAAAUGUCUGCAGUAGUUUCUGCUCUAUCUGCCUGUCAGGUGAAAAUGGGAACAGGAUACCUUUCUGCUUUCCCAUCUAAAUUAUUUGAUCGGUUUGAAGCUAUAAAGCCAGUCUGGGCUCCUUAUUACACCAUUCAUAAGGUAGUAUCUACUUCAAAAUGGUUCACUGUAGUGAUUCUUCAGAAAAUCAUACGACUAACCAUUUGUGUUGUUGACUUUGACAGAUCCUAGCAGGUCUUUUGGACCAAUAUACAUUGGCAGAUAAUGCUCAAGCUUUAAAAAUGGUUAAGUGGAUGGUUGAUUACUUUUACAAUCGAGUUAGAAACGUUAUAACCAAUUACAGUGUUGAAAGGCAUUAUCUAUCACUCAACGAGGAAACUGGUGGUAUGAAUGAUGUCCUUUACAAGUUAUUUAGCAUAACAGUAAGUACACUAAUCUGUGCAGUUUCCUUUGCUUCUCCUGAUUCUUCACUUUACGAGUCCUAUGAAUUGUCUCCCUGGAGCUGGAAUGGAUAUAUUUUUUGAAUUUACUCUGUUCCGUGGAAGAUAAACCUCUGGAUAUCUUUAACUCGAGCCUUAAAUUUUACUUUGAUGCAGGGAGAUCCAAAGCAUUUGGUGCUGGCUCACCUGUUUGACAAGCCUUGCUUCCUUGGUUUGCUUGCAGUACAGGUAAUUUAUGACUAUCAAUUGUUGUUUAUCAGCUUUUGGCUGGUGUUGUAGUCUUCUGGUUUUUCAGGUCAUUUCCCUCCUUUAGCCGGUAAGAAUAGUUUCCCUUUGAGAAAACAAGCUUCUGAUUUUGUAAAAUGAAAUGUUAUCAUCUUUGACAUAACAAUUCCAAUCAGUUAGAGCAAGCCUAAUUUAAGAUGAACUUCUGAGUUUUUUAUAUUGCAAAUAGAAUGAAUUUGGAAUGCAGGCUAUUUUAUAGCAGCUUCUUCUCUUCCUUGUAGGCCGAUGUCAUAUCAGGUUUCCACGCCAAUACACAUAUCCCUGUUGUCAUCGGUGCACAGAUGCGAUAUGAAAUCACUGGCGAUCCUCUUUAUAAGGUUAAUGCUUUAUAUUAAUCAUAGAUUACCUGAGCAGCAUUUUCUAUGAAAUGUUGUAGCAUUUUGAUUACUGUUCUACUGAGCUAUUGCAGUUCAUGUUAGAGUAGUCAUGCAUGCAUGAUCUCUGAUCUUAAAACUGCCUAAGACAGAUUUGAUCUUCCAGGAUAUAGGAGCAUUCUUCAUGGAUGUAGUCAACUCUUCUCACAGCUAUGCAACUGGAGGAACUUCUGUUAGCGAGUUCUGGUACUGAUUGUUGUUUUUCGUUCAAUAAUAAUAGUGAUAUUCUGAAUUAGGUUUAAUGCCUCCAUAUAGAAGAAUCUUGCUUCUACUUUCAUAAAAAAGCUUGCUACGAUCUUAUCCUGUGUUGGUUGACACCUUGCCUGAUGUGUGAGUACGUCAGAUCCAAAGCGACUGGCUAGCACGUUACAGACAGAAAAUGAGGAAUCAUGCACAACUUAUAAUAUGCUGAAGGUGUGUUUCAUCUCAUAUCUCUGCUUACUGAUUUAGAUUUUAUGUGUAUUUGAUGAAUAGAAUUUGUUUCGAUCUUUUCAAAAACUUAUUUUGACUCCAAGGUCUGUAUGUCAGUAAACAUUUUGGCAUCUAUACGGCAUUUACCUGGCAGUUUUUUCAUCUUCGUGUUACAUAAAUUUUCCUGCUUAAAUACUCUGCACUUUUUUUUGCAACCUGUAGGUCUCUCGCCACCUGUUCAGAUGGACCAAAGAAAUGGCUUAUGCAGAUUAUUACGAGCGAGCUCUGACAAACGGUGUGAUUCUAAUGAUUUACAUGCUUCCACAAUAUCCUGGAAGUUCCAAAAAGAGGAACAGAACCUGAAGUGAUGAUUUACAUGCUUCCACAAUAUCCUGGAAGUUCCAAAGCCAAUAGCUAUCAUGGAUGGGGGACUUCGUAUGAUUCUUUUUGGUGCUGCUAUGGAACAGGUGUGGAAACUGUUACCUGCCUCAUCCUUUCUUAGCUGCUAAUUGUCACAAUUAUCAGAUUUCAAUGUAAAGUUCUCUGUAUUUUCAUUGAUUCUGAAAGGAAGAAUUCAGUCCUAUAAAUACAUGUAAAAUAAUCCCUAAUUUGUAGUCUAUAAUCCCUGAUUUGUAGUCUAUAAUAAAUACAAUAAAUACAAUAUAUUCUGUUACAAUUUGGUUGCCAUAUAUUGUUGAUAUUCUUGCCAUAUACAUUGACAUCCCCCCUCAAAUUGAUGCUGGUCGAUCAAGAAGCAUCAAUUUGUCAAUCAUGAGUUGAUGUCGAGGCCGAGACAAGGCCUUCGUAAAGACAUCAGCGGUCUGAUGCUCGGUGGAAAUAUGAGGUAGUGUAAGAAUAUUAUGAUCAAGAGCUUCACGAAUAUAGUGACAAUCGACUUCAAUAUGUUUGGUGCGUUCAUGAAACACAGGAUUAGUAGCAAUCUGAAUAGCACUUGUGUUAUCAGCAUGAAGAGGUGUAGGAGUGUGCUGAGGAAAACCAAGUUCACGUAGCAAACCCUGGAGCCACACAAUUUCAGAACAUGCGGAGGACAUAGCUCGAUACUCAGAUUCUGUGGAAGAUUUUGAGAUUCGGUCUUGCUUUUUGCUUUUCCAUGAAAUUAAAGCAUUUCCAAGAAACAUACACCCCAGUAACAGACCGACGUGUAUCCAUGCACCCUGCCCAAUCUGCAUCACUAUAACCUGUUAAUUGUAAUGAAUUAUCAGCAGGAAAAAAUAAUCCUCGCCCAGAUGUGCCUUUAAGAUAGCGAAGAAUUCUUCGGACAACAGCUAAAUGAGGUUGACGAGGAGCCUGUAAAAACUGACUGACUUGUUGUACUACAAAAGAAAUAUCUGGCCGAGUAAUGGUUAGAUAAUUCAAACUGCCCACCAAUUGCCUGUAUAUGGAGGGAUCAGGUAACAGGUCACCAUCAUUCUGACAAAGUUUUAAAUUAAUCUCGAGAGGUGUAAGAACGAUAUUCCCUGAUUCAAGACCGCCCAAGAGAAGAAUCUCUUGGGUGUAUUUGUGCUGAUGUAGAGAAAUCCCAUUGGACAUAGAGUGCACCUGUAGACCAAGGAAAUAGUGAAGGUGUCCCAGAUCCUUCAUAUGAAAUUCACUGUUAAGAGAACGCUGUAAAUCCUCAAUGAGUGGAAUGUCAGAUCCUGUAAUGAUAAUAUCAUCCACAUAUACCAGAAGAGCAACAAUACCAGUAGUAGUUUGCUGAAGAAACAGAGAGGAAUCAUAUUGGCUCUGAAUAAAUUUAAGUUUCAGAAGAGUAGUGCGAAAUUUUUCAAACCAUGCCCGGGGUGCCUGUUUUAGACCAUACAGGGACCGUUUCAACCAGCAGACUUUAUCAGAUGGGUGAGUAAACAUACCAGGAGGAGGAGUCAUAUAAAUAUUCUCUUUCAGAUCUCCAUGUAAAAAUGCAUUUUUUACAUCCAUUUGACGAAGUGGCCAUCUCUUGGAAGCAGCAAUUGCCAUAAUGGUGCGUAUGGUAGUCAUUUUAGCCACAGGUGCAAAGUCUCCUCAUAAUUAAUACCAUAUGCCUGACAAUUUCCAAGAGCCACCAACCGUGCUUUAUAUCGUUCCACAGAUCCAUCAGGUUGGAAUUUAAUAGUGUAUACCCAUUUGCAGCCAAUAGGUUUAAUACCGGUAGGACAAGAAACAAUAUCCCAUGUGUGAUUAUCCUGAAGAGCCUGAAGUUCCUCUUUCAUGGCCUGUUGCCAACAUUCUUGGGUACAAGCCUGCGCAUAAGUCUUAGGCACAAAAGUACUAUCAAUAGUGGUUGCUGAGUAUCCAUACCUGUUUGGGGCACGUGAAACUCUAGUUGAUCGUCUUAGUUGAGGGAAUGAUCAGAUGUCGGUUCCGUGUCCGGAAGGGGCAAAGUGGAUGGUGGAUGACGUCUUUGAUAUACAAUUCCUGGCUUAAAACGUUCAAAGAUAUAAGAUGGACUAUCAUCAUCAAAUGUGGGAAGCUGGAUAGGAGUGGAUUCUGUAGAGGACAAGAAGGGAAAAAAUUCUGAUUUUCAAAGAAAAUCACAUUUCGAGAGAUACGAAUUUUAUGAGCAUUUGCAUCAUAACAUACAAACCCUUUAUGAGAAUUACUAUAUCCUAGAAAAGCACAACGAGCAGCUUGGGCUGAGAGUUUAUUACGUUCAGUAAAUGGUAAGUGAACAAAACAAACACACCCAAAAACAUGGAGAGAAUCAUACUCAGGAAGAACACCAAAUAAAAUAGAGUAUGGAGAUGCAAAGUUUAGAACUUGAGAAGGCAAACGAUUGAUUAGAUGAACGGCUGUGAUAGAGCUUCUACCCAAAAUCGAGUAGGUACUGAAGAAUCAAUUAAUAAAGUGCGAACAACAUCUAAAAGAUGACGAUUCUUACGCUCAGCAAGUCCAUUUUGUUGAGGAGUGUAAGGACAAGAUCUUUGAGAGAGAAUCCCUUUGUUUUUGAGAUAUUCCUGAAAUUCUUUGGACACAUAUUCCCCCCCGGAGUCAGAACGAAGUAUUUUAAUAUGAGCAGAAAAUUGAUUUUCAACAAAUACUACGAAAGUCUGAAAUGUUGAGAAUACAUCAGCUUUAGAUCGGAGAAAAUAUAUCCAAGUGAAACGACUGAAAUCAUCAAUAAACGUGACAAAAUAUUUAUACUGAGCAUGAGAGAUAACAGGCUUAUACCCCAUACAUCAGUAUGAAUAAUUUCAAAACAUUUAGAAGCACGACUACCAUGUGAAGGAAAUGAUAAUGCUUUGCUUUUACCCAAUUUGCAAGAACUACAGUCCAAAAAUUCUGUGGAAAAAGAAUUUUUAUUCCCCAAAUAUCCAUGUUUCAUAAGAUGAGUCAAUACAUUAGAAUUGGGAUGUCCCAAUUUCUUAUGCCAAAAAUGAGGAUUAUUAAUGACAGUAGAAUAAGCACAAGAAUUAAUACUAGGAAUAGAAAAUUGUAUUGGAAAAAACCCCACUUUAGGCCCCUUCGCGAUCACCUUCCCCGACACUUGAUCCUGCACACAACAACCAUGACGAUUAAAGAGAAUUUCACAGUUAUUUUCUACCAUUUGACCAACAGAGAGUAAACUUGUUGAUAAUUUCGGUGACACAAAAAUAUUGUUGAAAUAAGACCCCAAAUUACCAAUGAUAAAAUCGGCAGAUUAUCACCAUUUGCUACCUGUAUAUGUUGAUUACCCAUGUAUUUUCGCACAUUACACAACCAUUUUCACUGCUGGUCAUGAUUCGACGCUGCCGAAUCCAUUAACCAUGGUUUAUUAUAUGCCGAAUCCAAAGAAAGUUAAGUUUAUUACCAGAAAUCCAAGUGCAGAGAAGGCAGAGAUGAUCAUCUGCUGCACCAUCUCGGGAGUGAUCGUGCCUGACGAAGAGCUCACCGACGAUGAAGAUUCUGGUGCCAACGGUGAGGACACGGCUGCGGCAGCCAUAGAAGUAGCCCCCAAUUUUGACUGCACAGUAAACCCUUGCGAUUCUGUGGUCGCAGACGCAUUCCCUGAUUACAUGCCCCUCCUUCUUACAAUAAUUGCAGAAUUUCUUACUGCAAUUUCUGGCAAUGUGCCCUAAUUCCUUGCAAUUAAAACACUGCACACUCCCACCCCUCUGUCGUCCCCUUCCUUGAGCCAUGUAAGCCACAUUCAUCUCGUGACAGUGUCCUGAGUCAACUCGUGUUGAGUGGCGAGUCGUUGUUCUUCCCGUAACAGUUCCCCCAAACAUUCAUCCAAGGUGGGUACUGGACUUCGGUUGAUCAAGCUAGCUCUCACAGCCUCAAAUUCUGGCCGGAGCUUCAUCAAGAACUGGUCCCUCUGGCUCUCGGCAUAAACAAGGUAUAGUGCUUCUAAACUAUCCUUCGGUAUUUUAGAGUAAAUUAUGCCAGUAUAUUCACUCCAUAGGUUUAGAAAUCCAGCAUAGAAUUGUUCAAUUGAAAGAUUACCUUGUUUGUAAUUGGCAAUACCCAUUUCGACCUGAAAUUUUUGAGCCGAAUUGUUCUGGGAAUAAAUGCGUCUGAAGUAGUCCCAAAUCUCCUUCCCUGUGCCAAACGAUCGAAGAUUGUUGAUCAUAUGGGGUUCAACAGACCCCAGUAUCCAGGAGACAAUUUUCGCAUCCUUGGUAGUCCAUAUACCCAGCUCCUGUGGUUCGGUUGGUGCUGGUGAAGAUCCAUCAAGAUGCCCCCAUAAUUCCUUCCCUUUAACAAACAUACGAAACUGAAACUCCCAACUGGCAUAGUUUUUGCCAUUGAAUCGAGUAAGAAAAGCCUCUCCAGACAUCCUAGGAAUCUCAAAAAAAAUAUCACCAAAUACUGAUGAAUUCAGUCUAUAGACUUAAGAAAAGAACAAAAGAUCUAGAUUAGAGAAUAACCGGCUCUGAUACCAUGUCACAAUUAUCAGAUUUCAAUGUAAAGUUCUCUGUAUUUUCAUUGAUUCUGAAAGGAAGAAUUCAGUCCUAUAAAUACAUGUAAUAAUCCCUAAUUUGUAGUCUAUAAUCCCUGAUUUGUAGUCUAUAAUAAAUACAAUAAAUACAAGAUAUUCUGUUACAAUUUGGUUGCCAUAUAUUGUUGAUAUUCUUGCCAUAUACAUUGACACUAAUACAGUUCACUGUUUUUAAUCAUUUUUUACUUGUAAGAGGAGAAACAUACCUCUGCUUCUGUGCUAACAAUUUGAUAUUAUCUUUUGUUGCUGUACCCACAGGAAUUGAAUCAUUUUCAAAGCUGGGAGAUUCCAUAUAUUUUGAAGAAGGAGAAGCCCCAGGCCUUUACAUCAUUCAGUAUAUAUCAAGCUCUCUUGAUUGGAAAUCUGGACAGAUUGUGCUCAAUCAGAAAGUUGAUCCUAUCGUUUCUUCGGAUCCAUAUCUUCGGGUGACAUUAACCUUUUCUCCUAAGAAGGUAUUUGCUGAAUCGAUCUAUCAUAUGAGCAUACGGAAACUAGUGUUACUUUUGAAGGAGUUACUUCCCAAUAAAAAAAAAAAAAUCAACCUGGAUCCUCCUUGGCUGGGAAAAGGAUGUUAAAAAGUGGCUAAAUCUACUGGAAAUUUAUAAUUAUUUUUAUAGUGUGAAAGUGCACAGAGAAUAGAAAGUCUUAACAAGAGGUGGGAAAAAAAAGGCUUACCUGUGAUCAUAAUGGAUCUGAUUUGUGCAGGGGACUAGCCAAGCAUCGACCUUGUAUUUGCGGAUACCAAUUUGGACAAAUUCAUAAGGUGCUACUGCAACAAUAAAUUCUCAGAGUUUGCGUCUACCAGCUCCAGGUGUGAAGUAUAAUCUUGACUAUUUGCAUCUGUUAAUCUACAUGUUUCUUAUAUUUUGAUUUAAUCCAUUUUAUAAGUGCUAAUAGGAGAGUUCAUUUGGCAUCUUCCGAGUGAUACCUGGAAUAGUCUCUAAUACUCUGCUUCUAAUGAAGGUAGUUUCUUAUCAGUCAAUAGAAAAUGGCGCAGCAGUGACAAGCUAACCCUUCAGAUUCCUAUCAGUUUGAGAACAGAGGCCAGUAAAGGUAUUUUCUUCGGAUUCCUGCUUGAAAUGUAAAAUAUUUUCGUAAAUGUCUAUAAUGAUGAUGGACAUAGAGCUGACAAAGUCCUCUGAACAACAUUCAGAUGACCGGCAAGAGUAUGCUUCUGUUCAGGCAAUACUAUAUGAUCCUUACCUACUUGCUGGUCAUACAAGUGGUGACUGGAACCUCAAAACCGGGUCAGGAAAUUCUCUUUCAGACUCAAUAACACCAAUCCCUGGCUCUUAUAAUGGACAAUUAGUAUCUUUUUCCCAAGAGUCUGGAAUUUCGACUUUUGUGUUAACAAAUUCAAACCAAUCAAUAUCUAUGGAAAAGCUCCCGGAAUCAGGCACCGAUGCUUCUCUUCAAGCCACCUUUAGACUUGUAUUAAAAGACUCUUCUUCCUCGAAACUCUCAAGUGUUAAAGAUGUUAUUGGAAAAUCAGUCAUGCUUGAACCCUUUCAUCUUCCUGGAAUGCUUUUAGUGCAGCAAGGAAAAGACAGAAGCUUUGCACUCACAAACUCUGCUGAUGGUGAUGGACCAUCCAUCUUCCGCGUGGUUUCUGGAUUGGAUGGAAAAGACGGAACUGUAUCCCUGGAAUCAGGUAUCCAGAAUGGUUGCUACGUGUACAGUGGUGUGGAUUAUAAGUCAGGUCAAAGCAUGAAGCUUAGCUGCAAAUCGGAGACAUCAUCAGAUACUGGUUUUAAUCAGGGAGCCAGCUUUGUAAUGAACAAAGGACUAAGUCAAUAUCAUCCAAUCAGCUUCGUUGCAAAGGGGGACAAAAGAAAUUUUCUUCUUGCACCAUUACAUAGUCUGAGAGAUGAAUCUUACACUAUUUAUUUUAACAUUCAACCUUAACAAGUGUUGAUAGAGCUAUUGAUUAGUGACUCUGCUUUUAGAUAAAUUAAGUUCAAUACAUAAAGAGAACUUGAAACCUCUUACGAGGAAAGGGUGUCCUAAUUGGUGUGGGGCACUUUCUUCAUUAGUUUAGUAUAAUUAUUUUUAUUAUAUUACUUCCUUAACUGUUAAGAUUUUUUUGGUGUUUGAAAAGACUCUAGUGUAAGAACAUGCUUAUCCUUUGAUUCCAUCAAGCUAAAAUGUUUUUACAAUGUUUUAAAUGUCUAAUUAUAUAGGAUAACCAGCUUACAGGCUGUUUUUCUUUGAGGCUCAAAUUAAGCUCGAAAGCUACCAUUUAAUUUUUUUUUUGUUGUUGUUUUUGAAUUAUUUUUUCCUAUUUAGAAUAGGAUUUUUGAUGUGGGACAACCAAUCCAAGAUUUCAUGGAUCAAAUCGACAAAUAAAAAUGGUUCAAGGCUCAAAAUAAUUAUAAUUUUUUAUUUGAUUACUAGAUCAAAUUCAAAUUUUACAGUGAAUUCUUGAUAAAAAAACAAUUUGAACUUACGAUCAGCAUCUUUCGCACUCCAAACUUGAUCAUUGCUCAUAUUCACCAAAUUCCACUUCAAAAAUCCUGAAUUCCACUUCAAAAGUCCUUAAAAUUGCCUUCAAAGUUUUGGACCCUAUUUGGAACCUUUUCCUUGUUAAUUUUGGAUGUUAGCUUUAUUAUUUUUCAAAAUUACUUGUUUUCUUGCUAUUUAUGAAUGUUUACGGUAUUUAAAUUUAUAUUCUCAGAUUUUAUGACUUUUUGAUUAAUAAAACUAUAGUCUUGUAGAACUUUGAUUGUGUUUAUAUCUUAUCGUGUGUUAAAUUCAAAUCCUUAGCUUUCUCUACAUCAAUUUUUAAUUUAAUUAUGAUUUUACAAAUUGAGUUUUUUUCUUGUAUUGAAACAGCUUUUUAAGCUAUUUUUUUUUAGAUUUAAGAACACCAAUUUUUUUCUCUAUAUAUAGAGCCGCAAAAUCUUAGGAAUUAAAGAUCCUAUCUAUGUAAUAAUAAUUAGUAGAAAAUUAAUCCUAUUCCUUAUACAUACUCAAGAUUUUCAUUUUCCAUUUAAAUCAUAAUUUUCUAAUUCCUUUAACAUAUAAUCCAUAUUUCUUUGCUAAAGCAGGCAGUUCGAUCAAGAGGUCAGCUUUAUUUUUUUAAUUAUUAGUUUUUUUUAGCACUCACAUUUUUUUAUAAGCCAGAUCAUAUAUAUAUAUAUAUAUAUAUAUAUAUAUAUAUAUAUAUAUAUAUAUAUAUAUUCUCUCUCUCUUGAUUCUCUACCUCGUUUGCCUAUCUCUUUACUAUAGAGUAAUUACGGUGGUUAAUGCUCUAAAUUGUUUUGUUUCUGAUAAGACUGUGACAAGAGGCAAAUGAUGAUUUAAUAUACAGCAAAUAAUGUUUUUGCUUGAAUGAUAGAACACACUGUUUGUAUGACAGUAGAAUUCCACCUGCAAUAACAGAGACUAUGGAUUAUUCACAAACAUCUGUUUCAAAGCUGCCUUCAAGGUCAUUAACUUAUUAUGCCUACGCCUUCUGCAAUGUGAAUUCAGAGCUUCGCAGACACCCCAAAGAAAACUAUUUGUAGUGACACCAAUAUUGUCGUGGUCAUGACUGUAAAGAAGAUUCGACACUACUUCAUCACUGUUUAGCAUAUUUUUCGAAUUCCAUUUACGAGCAAGUACUCCCACAUCAUUAGGGGCCCUGACGAGGCAGCUGAUGAAAGUAAUGUAGUCAUCUACGAAAGUAUCCUCAAUCCAAUUAUAGCAUUCCUCAAAGGCCAGGAGAUUUCUGAAUAAGAUUUCCGUGCCUUCAUCUAUUUGCAGUUGUGGGAUUUCUAGAAUCCCUUUCCUGAAUGUUAUGUCAAACAGUGAGCUUCUUUCUGGAUUCCUAAAUUUCACUCCAGAUUGAUGGAGCUCUGUUGCAGUGGGUGCUCUUGAAAAGGUUGUUUCCAGUGGACGAUGGCACAAUGCCGGUGGCUGCUGACACCUUCUUAGGAAGUCAACGAAAUGUAGGACUCCAGAGAAAUCAAUUGCUUUCGAACAGUCCUCUUUCACCCAGCCAGCCCAUUGACUUCUUAGAAACCCACAGGUAAGCUCAAUAAUGGUACAAUUCUCAGCUUCACUGGAUAGCUCAAAAAACUUCUCGAGGAUGAAGAAUGGAAGCUGAUUUUCAAGCAAUAGCAUAUCGAACACUACGUUAUGUAGCAUAAAUGGACGAUAGAAAAUCCGAUCACUACGUCCAUUUCUAAAAACCAAUCUCCUGUACUUCAACUUCAGUAAGACCAUAAUAAUAAAGACGGCAUCCAGUGCGAAUUCUUUUAUAGUAAGUUGAAUGGUCUCUGCAUAACAAUCACGUAAUGCUGCUUCAUUCUCCUUGAUAAUGUUAUAUAAAUUCUCCUUACCUACCUUGUUCUGGUCAAGAAACUGCUGCAGGUACGUUUCUUUUUGGUCUUCCAUAGCUUUGAGAUUUUCCUUACCAUGGUGAAAAGGGCCUAUUGAGACUACUCGAGGUGUAAAUGCCUUUCUAUGUAACUUCCGCGAUCGUUCGGGGACUCUAUAGAUGCAGCAUUCCGGGGAGGGAGCCUUCUCGAUCUUCAAUUGCUCCCUCCUAGAAUUGGCUAACUCAUUGAUAUCAAGUGAAACUUCAUCGCUCUGAUCCAUUAUCUGCUGAUCAGUACAAUCGCGCUGGUGUUCAGAAACAGCACGUAUAUACUAACACUAAGUCAUGAAAUAAAACAUAUUCUGACAACAACCACAAUAAUAGUUUGCAUGAAAUCAAUCAUAAUUUGUGGUUAUUUCUACCUCUGUUAAUUUUCAAGGGGUUUCUAGUGACGAGCUUUUUACUCAUGUUUUAUUAUGGAAUGCAAAUUAGUGGUGUCUUGCUGUGAAAUAAAAGGGUAAACUUCAUUUAUUUUCCUUGUAAUAGAUUCAUUAAUAUUCUACUUCUACUCCUACUCCUACUCCUACUCUUAUAGUUUUCAUAAAAUCCUGUUAAUAUUACUCUUAACCAUUUAAUAUCUUCUUUUUAUUUUGGUUUUUCAGUUUUUUAGGUUUCGAAUUUUUGUUGUAAGAUACUAUGACAUGCAUAAGGACCUGAGAGGAAAUAAUAUUGCUGCAUAACAAUCACGUAAUUCUUUUUCAUUAUCCUUGAUAACGUAAAAUAAACCCUCCACACUUACCUUCCUCUGUUCAAGAGAUGGUUGCGCCGAUCCACGGUGCCUAUUUUUGUAUUCUCCCGCCCAGCAUUCCAUCGGGGGUCUUUCAUUGCUCCGAUCCAUUAUCCUUUGAUCAGUACUUGAUGUUUCGCCAAAUAUUUCCCUCUGAUCAUUGAACUGAGAUAAUCAAUGGCGUUAGAACCAGCACGUAUAAUUAAUCACUAUUUGAUAAAACAAACUGAAAUACCAUAUUUAAGAAUAACAUUUUCAGGAAACAAACACAAAAUAUUUGCAAGAAAUCAAAAUUGAAACAAGUGAAACUUCAUCGCUCUGACCCAUUAUCUGCUGAUCAGUAAUUGAUGCAAUCGCUGGUGUUUAGAAACAGCACGUAUAUAUACACUAUCACUAAGUCAUGAAGAAAAACAUAUUCUGAAAACAACCACAAUAAUAGUUUGCAUGAAAUCAAUCUUAAUUUGUGGUUAUUUCUAUCUGUGUUAGUUUUCAUGGGGUUUCUAGUGACGAGCUUUUUACUCAUGUUUUAUUAUGGAAUGCAAACUAGUGGUGUCUUGCUGUGAAAUAAAAGGGUAAACUUCAUUUAUUUUCCUUGUAAUAGAUUCAUUAAUAUUCUACUUCUACUCCUACUCUUAUAGUUUUCAUAAAAUCCUGUUAAUAUUUCUCUUAACUAUUUAAUAUCUUCUUUUUAUUUUGGUUUUUCAGUUUUUUAGGUUUCGAAUUUUUGUUGUAAGAUACUAUGACAUGCAUAAGGACCUGAGAGGAAAUAAUAUUGCUGCAUAACAAUCACGUAAUUCUUUUUCAUUAUCCUUGAUAACGUAAAAUAAACCCUCCACACUUACCUUCCUCUGUUCAAGAGAUGGUUGCGCCGAUCCACGGUGCCUAUUUUUUAUUCUCCGCCCAGCAUUCCAUCGGGGGUCUUUCAUUGCUCCGAUCCAUUAUCCUUUGAUCAGUACUUGAUGUUUCGCCAAAUAUUUCCCUCUGAUCAUUGAACUGAGAUAAUCAAUGGCGUUAGAACCAGCACGUAUAAUUAAUCACUAUUUGAUAAAACAAACUGAAAUACCAUAUUUAAGAAUAACAUUUUCAGGAAACAAACACAAAAUAUUUGCAAGAAAUCAAAAUUGAAACAAGUGAAACUUCAUCGCUCUGACCCAUUAUCUGCUGAUCAGUAAUUGAUGCAAUCGCUGGUGUUUAGAAACAGCACGUAUAUAUACACUAUCACUAAGUCAUGAAGAAAAACAUAUUCUGAAAACAACCACAAUAAUAGUUUGCAUGAAAUCAAUCUUAAUUUGUGGUUAUUUCUAUCUGUGUUAGUUUUCAUGGGGUUUCUAGUGACGAGCUUUUUACUCAUGUUUUAUUAUGGAAUGCAAACUAGUGGUGUCUUGCUGUGAAAUAAAAGGGUAAACUUCAUUUAUUUUCCUUGUAAUAGAUUCAUUAAUAUUCUACUUCUACUCCUACUCUUAUAGUUUUCAUAAAAUCCUGUUAAUAUUUCUCUUAACUAUUUAAUAUCUUCUUUUUAUUUUGGUUUUUCAGUUUUUAGGUUUCGAAUUUUUGUUGUAAGAUACUAUGACAUGCAUAAGGACCUGAGAGGAAAUAAUAUUGCUGCAUAACAAUCACGUAAUUCUUUUUCAUUAUCCUUGAUAACGUAAAAUAAACCCUCCACACUUACCUUCCUCUGUUCAAGAGAUGGUUGCGCCGAUCCACGGUGCCUAUUUUUGUAUUCUCCCGCCCAGCAUUCCAUCGGGGGUCUUUCAUUGCUCCGAUCCAUUAUCCUUUGAUCAGUACUUGAUGUUUCGCCAAAUAUUUCCCUCUGAUCAUUGAACUGAGAUAAUCAAUGGCGUUAGAACCAGCACGUAUAAUUAAUCACUAUUUGAUAAAACAAACUGAAAUACCAUAUUUAAGAAUAACAUUUUCAGGAAACAAACACAAAAUAUUUGCAAGAAAUCAAAAUUGAAACAAGUGAAACUUCAUCGCUCUGACCCAUUAUCUGCUGAUCAGUAAUUGAUGCAAUCGCUGGUGUUUAGAAACAGCACGUAUAUAUACACUAUCACUAAGUCAUGAAGAAAAACAUAUUCUGAAAACAACCACAAUAAUAGUUUGCAUGAAAUCAAUCUUAAUUUGUGGUUAUUUCUAUCUGUGUUAGUUUUCAUGGGGUUUCUAGUGACGAGCUUUUUACUCAUGUUUUAUUAUGGAAUGCAAACUAGUGGUGUCUUGCUGUGAAAUAAAAGGGUAAACUUCAUUUAUUUUCCUUGUAAUAGAUUCAUUAAUAUUCUACUUCUACUCCUACUCUUAUAGUUUUCAUAAAAUCCUGUUAAUAUUUCUCUUAACUAUUUAAUAUCUUCUUUUUAUUUUGGUUUUUCAGUUUUUUAGGUUUCGAAUUUUUGUUGUAAGAUACUAUGACAUGCAUAAGGACCUGAGAGGAAAUAAUAUUGCUGCAUAACAAUCACGUAAUUCUUUUUCAUUAUCCUUGAUAACGUAAAAUAAACCCUCCACACUUACCUUCCUCUGUUCAAGAGAUGGUUGCGCCGAUCCACGGUGCCUAUUUUUGUAUUCUCCCGCCCAGCAUUCCAUCGGGGGUCUUUCAUUGCUCCGAUCCAUUAUCCUUUGAUCAGUACUUGAUGUUUCGCCAAAUAUUUCCCUCUGAUCAUUGAACUGAGAUAAUCAAUGGCGUUAGAACCAGCACGUAUAAUUAAUCACUAUUUGAUAAAACAAACUGAAAUACCAUAUUUAAGAAUAACAUUUUCAGGAAACAAACACAAAAUAUUUGCAAGAAAUCAAAAUUGAAACAAGUGAAACUUCAUCGCUCUGACCCAUUAUCUGCUGAUCAGUAAUUGAUGCAAUCGCUGGUGUUUAGAAACAGCACGUAUAUAUACACUAUCACUAAGUCAUGAAGAAAAACAUAUUCUGAAAACAACCACAAUAAUAGUUUGCAUGAAAUCAAUCUUAAUUUGUGGUUAUUUCUAUCUGUGUUAGUUUUCAUGGGGUUUCUAGUGACGAGCUUUUUACUCAUGUUUUAUUAUGGAAUGCAAACUAGUGGUGUCUUGCUGUGAAAUAAAAGGGUAAACUUCAUUUAUUUUCCUUGUAAUAGAUUCAUUAAUAUUCUACUUCUACUCCUACUCCUACUCCUACUCUUAUAGUUUUCAUAAAAUCCUGUUAAUAUUACUCUUAACCAUUUAAUAUCUUCUUUUUAUUUUGGUUUUUCAGUUUUUUAGGUUUCGAAUUUUUGUUGUAAGAUACUAUGACAUGCAUAAGGACUUGAGAGGAAAUAAUA